rnacentral:rRNA from 1 species
UACGAAGGGGGCUAGCGUUGCUCGGAAUUACUGGGCGUAAAGCGCACGUAGGCGGAUUGUUAAGUCGGGGGUGAAAUCCUGGAGCUCAACUCCAGAACUGCCUUUGAUACUGAGGAUCUUGAGUUCGGGAGAGGUGAGUGGAACUGCGAGUGUAGAGGUGAAAUUCGUAGAUAUUCGCAAGAACACCAGUGGCGAAGGCGGCUCACUGGCCCGAUACUGAUGCUGAGGCACGAAAGCGUGGGGAGCAAACAGG